CAGGGGUCUUUCUCCAAAAAGUCAGUUUCCCAUUCUCUCAACUUUCCUCUUCUCUUUCUAGAAAGCAGAAAACUCUUUUUGCCCUAAAACAUUUUCUCUGCCUUCUCUCUAAAUUCCCAACAAAUUUAACUGUUCAAUCUUUGAAUAGGUGGUGCUCAAACGUUCACCGCGUCGAGAGCUCCGUAACGGACCGAACAUUUUCUUGUUUCUACCGAUAAGUUAUCUUUCC
rnacentral:lncRNA from 1 species